ACUUCGGGAAACCGGAGCUAAUACCGGAUAAUAUAUUGAACCGCAUGGUUCAAUAGUGAAAGACGGUUUUGCUGUCACUUAUAGAUGGAUCCGCGCCGCAUUAGCUAGUUGGUAAGGUAACGGCUUACCAAGGCAACGAUUCGUAGCCGACCUGAGAGGGUGAUCGGCCACACUGGAACUGAGACACGGUCCAG
rnacentral:rRNA from 1 species